UCUGAUAAUUGACGUUUCAUUACAACGUUCAAAAUGAUAGUGUCAAAAUAAAAAUCAAAACAAAAUGUAUUAUGAAAGUUUGCAGAUAAAUACUGCAAAAGAAAUGGAUAUAAGUCAAUGUAAUUUAUAUUGCGCUACCUAAGUACAGUGGCAAAAUGAAAUUCCCGGUUCCUUAGUUAAUUUUACAAUGUACAAACAUGCAUUGGCCUGUUUCUGACAUAAUCCAAAACAUGAUUUUAUUUACAAACAUUUUUACAUAACCGUUAAACAAACCAAUCUGAAAAUGCAUUCUUACCCAAAUUCCCAGCAAACAAUAGAUACGCUCCUGAUAUGAAAGAACUGUAAUGUUUUGUUCAUUCUAUCAAAACAUGGGAAGAAAGAGAGACAAAAUGAUUAACGAAUCAAAAUGGUUAAGCAAGUCAAUCAUCCCCAUAUGAAGAUGGACGAACUUUAAGAAGCUGCCAGUAAUUGCGAAAUCACCAGGAGGUUAGAUCGUACGAAAAUAAUUCCAGAAUCCCAUAACCAUGUCUUCUAAAGACUUGAUGACGACCCGCGAUAAAAUAAACUCCUGCAUAAAUAAAUCAAAACCUCUUCGGAAACUGAAGAAACUAAUCCAGUCUGUCACAGGAGGCAAAGAUAGUUGCGGAUUUGUACAAGU